rnacentral:rRNA from 1 species
GAUGAACGCUGGCGGCGUGCCUAAUACAUGCAAGUCGAGCGAAUGGAUUAAGAGCUUGCUCUUAUGAAGUUAGCGGCGGACGGGUGAGUAACACGUGGGUAACCUGCCCAUAAGACUGGGAUAACUCCGGGAAACCGGGGCUAAUACCGGAUAACAUUUUGAACCGCAUGGUUCGAAAUUGAAAGGCGGCCUCGGCUGUCACUUAUGGAUGGACCCGCGUCGCGUUAGCUAGUUGGUGAGGUAACGGCUCACCAAGGCAACGAUGCGUAGCCGACCUGAGAGGGGGGUCGGCCACACUGGGACUUGGACACGGCCCAGCCUCCUACGGGAGGCAGGAGUAGGGAAUCUUCCGAAAGGGACGAAAGUCUGACGGAGCAACGCCGGGUGAGUGAUGAAGGCUUUCGGGUCGUAAAACUCUGUUGUUAGGGAAGAACAAGUGCUAGUUGAAUAAGCUGGCACCUUGACGGUACCUAACCAGAAAGCCACGGCUAACUACGUGCCAGCCGCCGCCGUAA